CGGCGUGCUAGAUUUGGAUCGUAAAACGCACCGUUUCUAAGCGCAUUGUAGCAGAUCCGAAAUAAAACCCUAGCUAGCAUCAGCGCAAACCCUAGAAGUUGGCUACACACGCUUCUUUUUAAGUAGAAGCAAGCAAUAGAGGAAGCUCAAACCACAAAAGCCACAGCCGUCUCUGGCCGCCUAAGAGCUUUUGCCUUUUGCCGAGCUUGAGAGCUUGUGCUGCUUUUAUCCUUCCUUGGAUGUCUGACACCAACUGAAAAUUACCUUGGUCUGCAAUUGUGGUUUAUGUUAUUGCUUAACUAUUUAUUGUAAUGUUUGAAUAAAUUUUGUUGAUUGGCCAAUGAUUAUUAAUUAUUUAUUUAGACAAGCAUAUGGCUGAACUUUAUGUUGACAAACUAAUCUUCUCUAUGAGGCCUAAUCCUUGCAUACCCCUUGUUUUAACAAUGUUGUUCGGUGUAUAGUUGUUUAUUUGUUAUUUGCAUGCCGCUCUGUCUUCAUUUUGUUUGGUUGAUGUCAAUAUGGUCUAAAAAGCUUUGAUUGCAUGUUUGAGUUCUUAAUGGUUGCAACUUGCAACCAUUUCAGUUACUGUAAUUUCUUAUAUGCAUUUGUGAAUUCAUAGGAAUAGAAGAUGAAAUUGAGGGGGGACUGUGAUGAUUUCUGUGAUAGGUCUCGUUCGUCGUAAUGGCAUCUUUGCCUUGCCGACCAUCCUGUUAUAUCACCACCCAUAUUCUGAGUCCCAUCUAAGUAAGCAAGCAAGCGGAUAGCAAUCUAAUAAGUAAUUCUAAUUUUUGAAGUAAAGGGUGAUAAUUUUUUACGCUUUUCGUUCAUUUUUUUCCCCUUCUGUUCUAUGAUAUCUAGGUUAAAUUUAAUGUAUCCUUUGUUUCUCUUUUAUCAUUGUCUUACUUGGUUCUUUUAAAGAAUCUGUGUUCUACUGUGUGCAGUAGAAUGAUGCAAUUGCAAAAAUAUGUUGGUUUGGCUCCCUGAGCUGUUUUUAUAUCUUUACUUGUUAACCAUUGAUAUUGCUUAUUACAAAUUUUCCUGCGAAGCACCUCCUUAUUGUAAUAUGACUAGUUGCGGAUAUGGUAAUUGGAUUGAAGCAAAUAAAUCCUAGAAAGAAAAGAGGCUUUUGUACCAAGUUCAUUAGUUUGAGGGAUACCAAACCAAGUUGUAUCACUCCUUUUCAGUUUGGAAGUCUAUUAAUACGGUUACAUAUAGUUAUAAACUCUUAAUUUUUCUAGAAUUAGUCAAGUUAUUCUGUAUCAGAUCUCAGUAUUGUGCCACUGCUGAUUCAGAUUUUAUUUCAAAUUUAGUUUCCUUUUAAUUAUUUAAGGUCUACAUUAAAUUUUGCUGGCGAUGAUGACACAAAGGCCGGACUUACGGCUGCUAUUGGUUUGGUUUGUUGGUAGUAGACUGAUGAAAGUGCAAUGAAGGUG